CUCCACUCCAUCGUCGCCUCCUCUGUGCCAUCGUCGAUCAACAUGGCCAAAGAAGAUCCCCUAGUUCCAAAUCUCCCAAAUCAACAUGGCUGAAGCAGAUCUACUUGUAUGGUAAAGAAAUACAAUCGAAGAAGAGAGAUGGGAAGGAGAUCAUAUUGAGUCCAUCAAAGGAGCUUCUUUGUAAGAGAGUGAUGUUGGUGUUUGAAUAGCUAAGAGAACGUCAAGAAUCUUGAGCUUAUGAAACUUUGGAUUGAGGUUCACAAGAAUUGAGAGAUUGUCUUGGGUUUUGGCAUUGAGAGAGACAAAGAAGAAACUAAUUGGUGGUUGAUUUAUAUUCAUCAAAGUUGAAAUCUUUGCUUAUUGAGAAAAGAGAAUUUGGGAAAGAUGAGGAAUGAAGUUGAAAGAGAAGAGAAAACUGUCACUUAACAUUGUAAUUUUCUUUGGCAUGCUUAAUUUUCUCUGUCAUGUGUAAUUUUUUCUAGAAUACUUAAUUUUCUCUAGUUUGAACCCAGAGAAAUUCUUGCGAAAAUCAGAGAAAUUUUCUAGAAGCAAUCCAGAGAAAUUUUGUAAAUGGUUUUCUGAAAUUAAAGUUCAAUUAUGAAAAUUUGAGCAGUUUAGAUGA